CCUACGGGGGGCAGCAGUUGGGAAUAUUGGACAAUGGAGGAAACUCUGAUCCAGUGACGCCGCGUGAAGGAAGAAGGUCUUCGGAUUGUAAACUUAUUUUAUCAGGGAAGAAAAAAAUGACUGUACCUGAAGAAGAAGCACCGGCUAACUACGUGCCAGCAGCCGCGGUAAUACGUAGGGUGCAAGCGUUAUCCGGAUUUACUGGGUGUAAAGGGCGAGUAGACGGCGUUGCAAGUCAGAUGUGAAAGGCUAGGGCUCAACCUUAGGAGAGCAUCUGAAACUGUAAUGCUAGAGUGCAGGAGAGG
rnacentral:rRNA from 1 species